UGCCUUGCACUGCUUAAGUAAAAGAUAGUGAAAGAACUUAAGCAGUAGAAAAGGAACUCAAUAUAGCAAAAGGAUUUUAAUGUUAAUGGGAUUCAAACCCAUGACUCACUGCCUUGCACUUCUUAAGUAAUAGACAGUGAAAGAACUUUGGUCAAUAUAGCAAAAGAACUCAGUAUAGCAAAAGGAUUUUAAUGUUGAUGGGAUUCAAACCCAUGACACGGUGCCUUGCACUCCUUAAUUAAAAGACAGUGAAGACUUUUAUCAGUAGAAAAGGAACUCGGUAUAGCAAAAGAAUUUUAAUUUUAUUGAGAUUCCAACCCAACACACACUGCCUUCCACUGCUUAAGUAAAAGACAGUGAAAGAACUUUUGUCGGUGGAAAAGGAACUCAGUACAGCGAAAGGAUUGUAAUGGUAAUGGGAUUCAAACCCAGGACAAAGUGCCUUGCACUGCCAGUGAAAGAACUUUUAUCAUUAGAAAAGGAACUCAUUAUACCUAAAGGAUUUUAAAGUCAAUGGGAUUCAAACCCAGGACACACCCCCUUGCACUGCUUAAGUAAAAGACAGUGAAAGAACUUUUACCAGCAGAAAAGGAACUCAGUAUAUCAACAAGAAUUUUAAUGAUAAGGGGAUUCAAACCCAUGACACACUGCCUUGCACUGCUUAUAAGUAAAAGACAGUGAAAGAACUCUUUUCAGUAGAAAAGGAACUUGGUAUAGCAGAAGGAUUUUAAUUUUGAUGGGAUUCAAACCCAGGACAAUGCCUUGCACUGCCAGUUAAAGAACUUAUGAGUGGAAAUGGAAGUGUGGCAAAAGGAUUUUAAUGUGGAUGGGAUUCAAACCCAUGACAGACUGUCUUGUACUGCUUAAGUAAAAGACAGUGAAAGAACCUUUAUCAGUUGAAAAGGAACUCAGUAUAGCAAAAGGAUGCUAAUGUUGAUGGGAUUCGAACCCAUGACAAAGUGCCUUGCACUGCCAGGGAAAGAACUUUUAUCAGUAGAAAAGGAACUCAGUAUACAAAAAGGAUUUUAAUGUGAAUGGGAUUCAAACCCAUCACAAUGUGCCCUGCAUCGUUGAAGGAAAAGAACUUGUAUCAGGAGAAAAGGAACUUGGUAUAGGAAAAGGAUUUUAGCGGUGGUGGGAUUCAAACCCACGACACAGUGCCUUGCACCGCUUAAGUAAAAGAUAGUAAAAGAACUUAAGUAGUAGAAAAGGAACUUAAUAUAGCAAAAGGAUUUUAAUGUUAACGGGAUUCAAACCCAUGACUCACUGCCUUGCACUUCUGAAGUAAGAGACAGUGAAAGAACUUUGGUCAAUAUAGAAAAAAAACUCAGUAUAGCAAAAGGAUUUUAAUGUUGAUGGGAUUCAAACUCAUGACACACUGUCUUGUACUGCUUAAGUAAAAGACAGUGAAAGAACCUUUAUCAGUUGAAAAGGAACUCAGUAUAGCAAAAGGAUUCUAAUGUUGAUGGGAUUUGAACCCAUGACACUCCACCUUGGCACUGCUUUUUAAGUAAAAGGCAGCAAAAGAACUUUAGUCAGUAGGAAAGGAACUCAGUAUAGCAAAAGGAUUUUAAUGUUGAUGGGAUUCAAACCCAGGACAAAGUCCCUUGCACUGCCAGGGAAAGAACUUUUAUCAGUAGAAAAGGAACUCGGUAUGCGAAAAGGAUUUUAAUGUCAAUGGGAUUCAAACCCAGAAUGCACUGCCUUGCACUGCUUAAGUAAAAGACAGUGAAAGAACUUUUACCAGCAGAAAAGAAACUCAGUAUAGCAAAAAGAAUUUUUAUGAUAAGGGGAUUCAAACCCAUGACACACUGCCUUGCACUGCUUAUAAGUAAAAGACAGUGAAGGAACUGUUAUCAGAAGAAAAGGAAGUCGGUAUAGCAAUAGAAUUUUAAUGUUAAUGGGAUUCAAACCCAUGACACAGUCCCUUGCACUGCUUUAAGUAAAUGACAGUGAAAAAACUUUAUCAGUAGAAAAGGAAAUCAGUAUAGCAAAAGGAUUUUAAUGAUAAUGGGAUUCAAACCCAUGACCCACUGCCUUGCACUGCUUAAGUAAGACAGUGACAGAACUUUUGUCAGUGGAAAAGGAACUCAGUCUAGCGAUAGGAUUUUAAUGUUAAUGGGAUUCAAACCCAGGAUGCACUGCCUUACACUGCUUAAGUAAAAGACAGUCAAAGAACUUUUACCAGCAGAAAAGGAACCCAGUAUAGAAGAGAAUUUUUAUGAUAAGGGGUUUCAAACCCAUGACACACUGCCUUGCACUGCUUAAGUAAAAGACGGUGAAAGAAUUUUUGUCAGUAGAAAAGGAACUCAGUAGAGUAAAAGAAUUUUAAUAUUGAUGGGAUUCAAACCCAGAGCAAAGUGCCUCGCACUGCUUUAAGUAAAAGACAGUGAAAAAACUUUAUCAGUAGAAAGGGAAAUCAGUAUAGCAAUAGGAUUUUAAUAAUAAUGGAAUCAAACCUGUGACACACUGCCUUGCACUGCUUAAGUAAAAGACAGUGGAAGAACUUUAAUCAGUAGUAAAGGAACUCAGUAUAGCAAAAGGAUUUUAAUGUAGAUGGGAUUCAAACCCAAGACACAGAGCCUAGCACUGCCAGUGAAAGAACUUUUAUCAGUAGAAAAGGAACUCAGUAUAGCAAAAGGAUUUUAAUGUCAAUGGGAUUCAAACCCAGGACGCACUGCCUUGCACUGCUUAAGUAAAAGACAGUGAAAGAACUUUUACCAGCAGAAAAGGAACUCAGUAUAGCAUGAAGAAUUUUUAUGAUAAGGGGAUUCAAACCCAUGGCACACUGCCUUGCACUGCUUAUAAGUAAAAGACAGUGAAAGAACUCUUAUCAGUAGAAAAGGAACUCGGUAUAGCAAAAGGAUUUUCAUUUUAAUGGGAUUCAAACCCAGGACAUUGCCUUGCACUGGCAGUGAAAGAACUUAUUAGUGGAAAAGGAACUAAGUAUGGCAAAAGAAUUUUAAUGUUGAUGGGAUUCAAACCCAUGACACAGUGCCUUGCACUGCUUUAAGUAAAGGACAGUGGAAAAACUUUAUCAGUAGAAAAGGAAAUCAGUAUAGUAAAAGGAUUUUAAUGAUAAUGGGAUUCAAACCCAUGACACACUGACUUCCACUGCUUAAGUAAAAGACAGUGAAAGAACUUUUGUCAGUAGAAAAGGAACUCAGUACAGCAAAAGGAUUUUAUUGUUAAUGGCAUUCAAACCCAUGAUGCACUGCCGUGCACUGCUUAAGUGAAAGACAGUGAAAGAACUUUUAUCAGUAGAGAGGGAACUUAGUAUAGCAAAAGGAUUUUAAUCAUAAUGGGAUUUAAAUCCAUGACACACUGCCUUGCAGUGCUUAAGUAAAAGACAGUGAAAGAACUUUUAUCAGUAGAAAAGGAACUCAGUAUGGCAAAGGUUUUAAUGUUGAUGGGAUUCAAACCCAUGACACAAUGCCUUGCACUGCUUUAAGUAAAAGACAGUGAAAAAACUUUUCUCAGUUUAGAAAAGGAACUUAGUAUAGCAAAAGGAGUUUAAUGUUAAUGGAAUUCGAACCCAUCACAAUGUGCCCUGCACUGUUGAAGGAAAAGAACUUGUAUCAGGAGAAAAGGAACUUGGUAUAGCAAAAGGAUUUUAGCAGUGAUGGGAUUCAAACCCAUGACACAGUGCCUUGCACUGCUUAAGUAAAAGAUAGUGAAAGAACUUAAGCAGUAGAAAAGGAACUCAAUAUAGCAAAAGGAUUUUAAUGUUAAUGGGAUUCAAACCCAUGACUCACUGCCUUGCACUUCUUAAGUAAUAGACAGUGAAAGAACUUUGGUCAAUAUAGCAAAAGAACUCAGUAUAGCAAAACGAUUUUAAUGUUGAUGGGAUUCAAACCCAUGACAUACUGUCUUGUGCUGCUUAAGUAAAAGACAGUGAAAGAACCUUUAUCAGUUGAAAAGGAACUCAGUAUAGCAAAAGGAUUCUAAUGUUGAUGGGAUUUGAACCCAUGACACUCCGCCUUGGCACUGCUUAUUAAGUAAAAGGCAGCGAAAGAACUUUAGUCAGUAGGAAAGGAACUCGAUAUAGGAAAAGGAUUUUAAUGAUUUGAAGUACAACAAAGCAGAAAGCAUGGGAACAAACCAUUUUGAAUAAAUGAUCCAGUGUUCUGGGAAAGUUUUGUUUUCAACAGUGACUAUGAUGUAUGCCAAAGACAGUGAGCAGUCAAACAGAUUUACCAAGAUCAAGAUCAUUUCAAAAAAUGCGAAAGGUUUGAAGAAAACUACCAGACAGAGUAUGUGUGUGUUGGUUGGACCAAUGAUAAAACAAGUUAAACAGCCUGCAACCUCAAGCAAACUCAAGAUUGUUCGUAGGUUUCAUAUGUAAUAGAACUGUGUGGUGACCUUACAUGCUGAAUUGACAAAUGAAUUGAUUGCAAGCACAAACUGGAUAAAUCAACUUGCAUGAAUGAUAACACGCAUCGGUUAUGACUUUACAAAUUAAGGUACAUGGAGACCCCUACUGAUGACUGAAGCUGUACUAAUGAAGGAGAGAAGUUAAAGUGUUUAAGUAAACUUUAAGAAAAUGGCUCGGGACUGUGUACUCUUUUUGUGCUGUAACAUGUGGAACAAGAAACCAGGAGAGGGUACCAGACAAAUCUACACUUUCUGCUCCUCAAACGAAUGUACCUACAGGUACAACUAUGCUCCACGAAUGGAACUUUAUUAAGUCAAUUUGAAGGUACAGAUUUGUGAGACACCUUAAAACCCCAAAGGUUGCACCAUAGCACUGGUUGGGGGUACACGGUCCCCAUUUUUCCCUCAUGCAGGGGUUUUUAAGGGUUUACGUGUCUGCCUUUGGUGCACUAGGUUAGUUUCACAUUUUACUGAAAAGCUAAGAGCAUCUCUACCUAAAUCUAAACAAAAAAAGGCAACAAAACUGCUACUCAGCACCUACAGCUUUAAUUAUUGUUAAAAAAUGUUUUAACAUAAAUAGGGCUCAGAUUAAAACUACAUACAUUUACAUGUACCUUUAAUCAUCAAAUUUUUUUCUGAUUCAUAGUUUGGCUGUUUGAUUUAUUUUCAGAAUACUUCUCUUAUCACAUUUUGUAGACUCUAGGUCGGGUAUCAAAUGGAAAUUCUCUGUUCUGUAUAGGCAAUUAUUGACUUGAAAUCAAAAAUUGCUACAAAGCUACCUAUUUAAAAACUAGUAAGUUGAGUUUGACUAGUUUUAAAAUAAAAGCUUUUGAUGAGUGUAUGAUAAAGCUUAUUGAGCUUACUAUUAGGCUAGUUGGAAACAAACUAGCUUAAAAAUUCAAGGUACAGCUUAAUAAGCUAAAAAGUUAGCUACUUUGACACAAAAUAGCUGAGGAAUUCUUGGUGAAAUUUCAUUUAAUUCUCUUGCCUACAUCUUUAAAAUGUGAUUAGUAUGGUGUGCUGAAAAUAAAAAUGAGCUGAAAAUGGUUUGUUACAAUCUUUAGUUUGCACCAUAACACUACAGGUAUGUUGUUCAAUCUGAGCCUUUAAAUUAGUAGCACUUGAUAUUCAUACAAUUUAAUUCUUAAGAUGAAAUUGGCUCUUGAAAUGAGAAUAUUUCUAUAAAAUUUUGAACUUGACAUAUCAUGGACUCCCCUUCAAUAAAAAGGUUUAAUUAACAAUAACUCUUAACCUGCAACUAAUACUAAUUCAUUUAAUUAAUAGAGGGAGGAGUUCAAGAUGUUCCAGUUCUGUUAGCAACAGAUUCUAAAUAUUAGCAUCUAAAUAGUAUACAAAUUAUAUAUGGAUUUAUUUACUCUUAGAUUCAAGGCUGCUGGUUUUGUUUCUACAUAGACUUACUACUUAGCUGGGUAAUUUCAAUUAGGAACUGAUCAUUUAAAUAACGAAAUGAUAGGUAAUAAGUUUAAUGAUAAAGUACAAUCAUGAGUCAAUGGAUAGUGGUGUAAUGUUUAUCAAACAAAUCAUCAACUCUUUAUUAAAAAGAAAGCUUUGAA